GUGCUUGCUUCAGCAGCAUAUAUAUUAAAAUUGGAAUGAGUCAGAGGAGAUUAGCAAGAUCCCUGUGCAAGGAUGACAUGCAAAUUCGUGAAGUAUUCCAUAUUUUU
rnacentral:snRNA from 1 species